GGAGAGAUGGCCGAGUCGGCUGAAGGCGGUCGCCUGCUAAGCGAUUAUACGGUGUCAAGCUGUAUCAUGGGUUCGAAUCCCAUUCUCUCCG
rnacentral:tRNA from 1 species